ensembl:lncRNA
UGUGCCAUCAAAAGCCUUCCCAAGCAGGGAGCCCUUUCUCUGGGAGUCCCUCCUGGAGGCCCUGGCGGCUCCCACCUCCGACUGUGGAGAGAGCCACUUCCUUUCUGCUGGCCCUUGCAGCGUGGGGCGUGCUUCUCUAUGUGACUGCAGCGUGCUGAGUCUGUGCUGGUGUCCAACUGCCACACAUUAACUGAGCACCCAUUUCGUGCCUGGCACUGGGGGCUCUUGGGACAUGGGGGUGAGCCAGACAGGUGUGUCUCAGCUGUUGCAGCGUUUGCAGCCUGGGGGCUGAGGAACAGGUCCACGCUCAGGACCACAAGGCGGCCUGAGUCUUGUGGUGGGGCAGGAUAAGGGGCUUCAAGUGCUCCCAAGAGGAGCAUCUAUCCAGGACUGGGAUGGGCAGCAGGGCUCCAUGGAGCAAGUGGUAGUAAACCAAGGUGGAGAGAGUCAAGCCAGGAGGGGGUGAAGGGGGAAAGCAAUGUCUCAGGCAAAGGGAACAGCCUGUGCAAAGGCCCAGGGGUGAUAGAAAGCUAGGUGAGAUCAGAAUGCCACAGAGAUUGGCAUGGCCGGAAAAUAGAGCAUGCAGGGCAAGUGUUGCAAGAGCACUCUGGAGAGGCAAGCUCCGACUCUGGCCAAAAAAGGUUGCCGGAAUCUUGCCUCUCUCUCCCACUCAUCUGUGGGCUCAGGUGGCUUAGAGGACAGUGUGGCAUGGGAGUUAACAGCCUGGCCUUGCAGCCAGCAGACCCAGGUGUGGCUUGAGUGACUUCAGACAGCUGCUUACCUGUUCUGGGUCCUACUCUCAUCUUUUAAAUGGGAAUCAUCAUACCACCCCCUCCGAGGGCUUGGCGAGGACUGUGUAACGGAAGAGGAUGAGCACAGUCUCUGACCCACGGGAGCAGCUGAAUGCAGGGCUGCUGCAGCGAUGGCAAGAACACACGGGAAUGUGUUAGACACCAUGUUGCUGUUGUCACCAGUAUUCUUACCAUUAUUUUUGUUGUUGGAUCUGAGUCGUCUCUGCCUCUCUUAUGGAUGGCACCAAGGGCUCUGUUGCCUACCCAGCUCUGGGUCCUGGGGAAGGAGCUGGCAAGAUGGCGAGCGCCAGGAUCAUAGAACAACCCCUUUGCCCUCCGCAGCUGUGCGCGGGCCAGGGAAUGAGAGGUCUGUAGCCCUGUGGACUAGUCUGGCAGGGGCUCCGGACACAGAAUCCGGAUGCUAUGUGAACACCCCAGCCUGCCUGGGAAAGCUGCCCACCAGCCCGUCCCCCUCUGCCCUUAUAUGGCCUUCCCUUUCUUGGGGAAGAGUUGAACCUUCUCAGGGUUGGAUGUUCUCGUCCCCCUGCAGGACGCCAGGACGCCUGCUGGGGUGGUGAUUCUUUUCUUGUGGGCAUUCCCAUCUGAUCAAUUUUCUGCCCUCUCUGGCUGCUCUGAGCUGAGGGCUGCCCCCUAAGAAUGCAUCACCCAGACCCCCUUGGGCUCUCAAUUCUGGCCGGAUCUGGCCACAGGGAAGCUGCAGCAGGAGAGAGGAGUGUACAGGGCGAGAGGUCAGGCAUCCAUCCCUCUCUCCGUCUGCUCCUUCUUCCACUGUCCUGACAUUGGCUGUGACCAGGACAGCUGUAGCUCCCUGGCUGCUCCUCCUUGGCUCCGGCUCUCAGGCCCCCCAGAGCACCUUCCUUCUCUUCUGCUUGAUCGCUAAGAGGGGUGUGGGCUUCCCGCUGCUCUAGGCCCGGGGGGCUGCCUUGACCUCUCUUGCUGGUUUCCUUGACCUGCCCCCACCUCUGAGCACAGCCCUGCUCCGUGCUGUUGCUGUCGCUGUCACAGGCUGCCUGUCUCCCGCUGACUCCCAUCAGUGUUCCGCGGAGGCUGUCCAGGCUCCUCCAAGAGACCCUGCCCAGCCAGGACCAGGGUGCAGGGCUGCCCCUCUUCUCCUCUCCUGUAACCUGGGUGCCUCCUAAGAGGGCAGGCCAGGGUCCCACAUGGGCACUCGUCCUGGAGGGGUUGGAGCUGCCUGUGGGACUGCAGAGGAAGCCAGGAUUCCAUCACAGAGGGCCUCAGGGGCCGUGGGGGAGGAUUUGGGGUUUUAAGAACAACAAGCUGUGGCAGAUUUUUGGGCUGGGGAUUGCCAUCCUCUGGUUUACAAAUGUAGAGGAUUUAUCUGCUGAGAGGUUCUAGACGGUCUGUGUAGACCCAGGGAAGCUAUCUGGGGUGCUGGGGCAGUAGUUGCCCUGUGACAUUAUGGGGCUCUGCCACCAUUAGAGACAUCUGCCACCUCCACUGUGAAGCCUCAGCUGGUCACCCACGACGGGUUGAAGGCUUCCUUUCUGUGUGUUCACAAAACUUUGUCACAGCAGCUAUCACAGUCGCCCCUCCUCCUGUCCGCAGCGCGCCUCUGCCUCAGCGCCCGCUCACUCCCGGGUCCCAGCACGUGCAGGGCCUGCACACAGAGGGUGCGGUAGGGCUGGCGCUUCGCUGAACUGGUUGGGACUGUCUACCUUCAGUGCAAACGCCUUUGAAGGUGCCUCCUGUUACAACAUGAGUAACUGUUAAGGGACGCCCAGCGUCAGAUCAGCUUGCGCCGCCUUGUCAGGCAAGGAGAGACAGUGGACAUUGGCUGCGUGCUUCCCCACGCCGCCUCGUCCAGUCCACUUGCCAGCCCUGGGAACAGGCAGUCCUGCCCCAUUUCACAGAGGGGAAACGGAGGCUCAGAAGAGUGGUCUAACUUGGAUCAGGUCGCCCAGCUUGUGAGUGACAGAGCCUAGGUGCCAACCAGGUCUCUCUGUCUCCUAAAGCUGUCAGCGGAGCCCAACGCCGCCGGGAGAACUGGACCAGCCUGCUCAGGAAACUGGCCUGGAAAGGUACACUUUUGUUUUGUUUUGUUUUUGCUGAGGAAGAUUGGCCCUGAGCUAACAUCUGUGCCAGUCUUCCUCUAUUUUGUAUGUGGCUUUCUGUCACAGCAUGGCUGCCCACAAGUUGUGUAGGUCCACAUGUGGGAAGCAGACACGGGCUGCUCAAGUGGAGCACGUCAAACUCAACCACUGGGCCACGAGGCCGGCCCCUGGAAAGGUACCUUUUAAUAACAAUGAAGGAACAAAAGUUCAACAGUUGUGCCACGUCGCUUUGCGGAUGUCAGCUGCCACUCUGCUGCAGCUGAGGAGACGUGCUCUGGAGUAUCAGGCUCCUCUCUGCGGGCUGAGGACUUUGCGCGACCACUUCACAGCUCCUCCUCAGUUUCAGCGUCCUGCCUCUAAGAAGCUCCUGGACCUUCCGGGUCUUGGAUAGGCUCUUCUUGUACACGUCUAUGUAGUUCCUUGUGAUUUCCUACACACACACACACACACACGUGUAUGUGUGUAUAUAUAGCUUAAGCCUUGAGAGUUCUGGAGCCAUCUCCAGGAGGGCCUGAGCACUGUCUCCUCCUACAGAGAAGGCUUGGCGGGGCUGGAUGUGUAGACUUGUUUUUAGUAGCCUGGAGUGGGAAGGGCCAAAGGGUGAAAGCUCCAGAGGGACAGUUUUUAGACUCUCUUCAGAGUCAGCCUGAGGAAGAACUUUCUAGCAGUGAGACUUUGUCCAGGAGGCAGCAGGCUCCUCGGGAACCUGCCGGCACAGGCUGGGAGAGGCAGCCCUGGAGGAAACCAGCCUCAGGGGGAGCCGGGAGGGGUGGGACUGGCUGUGAACUGACAGGCCGCUUCGUUCCGGGGCUGGAAGCUAUGUGAUGAUGGCAAACCCUCCGCUGAUUAAUUUCCUCCAGAGUGCUUGGCCCAUCACAUACGUGGCCUCAUUUAAUCUCUGUGGUAGCCCUGCAGGGUAGAUGCUGUCCAGUUGGUGCGUGAGGAAACAAGCCUUAGAGAAGUUAGGUAACUUGCCCAGGAGGACUUGGCAGAGCCAGGAUUUGAAUGUAAGCUGAGUCUGACCCGAAAGCUCCAUUUAAUAAGGCAGCUGCCACCACCUCCCCCAGGACUUAGGUUCCUACGAGCUUCACCCAAGUCACCAGCACAACUUAGUUCAUUUUGUUUUGCUUUUGCGUGCCUCAGUUUCCCCUCCAGGGGAAACUACCCCUUUGAUGUUGGAAGUCAGCCCGCAGGCUAGACCCAUCAGACUAGUCUGCUCUGGGAGAGUGGGGGCCUGGCCUGGGGCACAGACAGUUCCCAGAUUGUUUGGUCUCUCCUAAGCUUCCCUUUAUCUCCUUCUAGAAGGAGUCCAUUGUUUACCAGCUUGUUACUGUGGCUCUGGGUGCAUUAUGGAUCCAAGCAGGUGACACGGAGCAUGGAGCCGCAGCCAAGAGAAGGUUUCAGAAAGGUCUGUGUCUUCAGUUUCAGGUCUGAUGAAAGGAACAAACAAACAAAUCUAAAUCCAAACCCAGCAGGCUGCCUGUGGGGAGUCUGUGACACCGCGUCCAGGCCAAAGCCAGGGUGGGCGGAGAGGGACGCUGCAGGCCCGAAACGGGAGGCCAUAGAUCCCCUCGCGUACAAGGGUGUUUAUGUGACAUGCUUUGAAACGUGUGUGUCUCUUUUUUGUGUGUUUAUUCCUGAGACUCUUUUUAAAAGCAAUGUAGAAACUGUACUUUAAAAUACUUUAUCCCUGGAUGAUAUUUGAGGCAAUUCCACUUAGUUUAGUUAAACUCAGCCAGGAUUGACUAAGCCUCUCUUGUACCACGCACUGUGCUGGGCGCUGGGAUCCAGGGACGCAGAAGGUGUUACCCUGUCCUGAGGUGGCUCAGUGUCUGUCAUGAGAAAAAGAUGCACAAAUAAGGCCCCCAGAGUGCCCGUGGGGCUGGAGCCGUUUCAUUUGCAUGUAGCUGGGACCUACUGGAGGGGAAGUCUGAGUUCUUGGUGGGAGGGGUCGAGAAGGGUCCUCAGAGGCAGAUGAAGGUGGAGCCGCCAGUCCCAGGCAAUGGGGAGAGAGCUGGGGGGGGAGGGGGUGUCAUCUGGGGGUCACAGACGUUUGGCCUGCCCGAGGUCAUACAGUCAGAAAGCAGCAGCCUGAGGAUUUGAACCCAGAUCUCUCUGAUUCCUCUCCACCCCAGCGAAGAGACCUGCACAUUAGAGUGCUGUGACUCAGUGGGAAGGCUGUCCGCCUCUUCAGAGCCUUCCUGCCCCUGGAGGACCCGCCGAGUCCCACGCGCCCCUGGAAAGGCUCUUUGUACCGCUGCUGAGGUCUGGGAAAAUAUGCGCCUCCAUACAUACGGCUGGGUAUGGUUUCAUGGAGCUCUGCUUUCUCUUCAACAAUAUGAACACGUGCACUCAUUUGUUUAUUUGCUUAUUUGUUAUAAAAUAAGGACUUGUGAUUUCUGUCAAGACUGUGCUUGGCAAAGGAGCUAGAAGGAACAAUGAAACUGUCUUGGAGGGCAGAGGGCAGAUUUUAAACUCCAUUUUACUUCCCAUCACACAUAGGAGGUACUCAGGAAGUACUUGCAGAGCUGGCCUGGCUUGGCUACUCUCCUUCAUGGAGCUGUGUUAGUCAGCUUUGCCACAAGGCUGGUAUGUGACAAACCGCCCGAUACUGAGCAGCUUACGGUUACCAGUGCUGUUCCUCGCUCAUGGGUUUCAGGCUUGGUGGGUGGCACGGUGCAGGUGCAGGUUGGGGGGCAUUGGCUCAGGUUGGCCUGCUCAGCUGCCUCAUUCCGGGGGCCAGGCUGAAACCUCUGCCUGGUUGCUCUUCUCCCAGUAAACGAGCACGUGAGCAGAAAGAAUGUGAUGAAAGAGAUGCUGCCUUGAGAUCUCAGCCCAGAACUGCCGUCCGUCACUUCUACCACCUUCGUUGGCUCACAAUGAGUCAGUGGUCAAGCCCAUUAUCACUGGGCAGGGAUGUAUAUUUGUUGCCUCUUGUGUGACGCCCUGCAGACUCUAAUGGCAAAGGGUAUAAUGCUCACGCAAGGAGAGCAUGAAGACUGGAGCUUCAGAGAUGGACUUGAUUUCAAAUUUGAGUUAUUCUCUACCUGAUUUGGGACUGGAGAAAUCACUUAACCCUUUAGAAUCUCUGUCUUUCUCAUAUAUCAGGUGCUUACAAUAUGCCUUUCACCGAGCUUAGCAUUUUAUGAAGAUUGCUAUAGGGAGGUAAAGUAGGGGUUCAGCCCCAUUUAAUGAAUGAGGAAACUGAGGCUGAGUAAGGUGACUUGCCCAAAGUCACAUGGCCGCAUCCGGAGUUCCCUGGCAGGUUCUAUCUGCCACCUCUACUUAACUGAAAGAGGGUGUGUGUGCUGUCUGCCACUCUCAGGGAGCUUGUUUCAGGUGAAUUUCUGUCUUUUCUCCCCUUAAAGAGUCCUGGAAACUCUCAGGUCUCUGAACUUUCAUUUUCUGAUGAACUUUACCCCGUGGAUAACCCGCUGAUGUGGCUGGCUACCACCACCCAAGUUUCAAAGUUCAUUGUUGGUAAAGAAAAAAGUCGGGGCUAUUAUUAGCCGCAAUUGGAGGGUGAUCGCACUUCCCAGUCACGAGUCUUCAGGAAGAAGGACACUUGAAUCAAAGCCUGGGUGGUGGUGGUGGGGCAGCGUGUGUGGGCCAGAGGCAGGUUUCGUAAUUGUCAUGCCUGUCGGGCGAGGCUGGGGCCUCUGCUGCCAGAUCGCUUUCCUCUCUGGAGCCAGCUGCUCUGACACCUCUGGGGAAGGACAGCUGGCAGCUUUUUGCUAGAGUUUACUCACAAGGCAUGGAAGAUACUAGUAAGAGCAAAUCUUGGAUCCAACAGAUCUGAUUUGAAUCAAGCCUGUGCCUGAUUGGCUGGGUGGCCUUGCCCCCUGCAGUGCUGUCCCCUGUGCCUGCAGUGCCCCUCCUUCUCUGGGCCACUCUCCACCUGAAUGUCCCCUCAUCCCAGAGGUCUUCCCUGACCCUCUCAAGCCCUGUGCUCCCUUAAUAGCCCGGCCCACCCACGCCCUGCGCCGAGGUUAUCCUGAUGACUCACUUAUUCAGCUCUGCUGCUAGGAGACAUGCUCUGUGAGGGCAGGCCUGACCCCGACAUCCCACUCCCCAGUAUGGGCCUAGGGCACGGGAGGCAUGCUACGAACGUUUAUUUAAUGAAUUCAAUGACAAGUGACUAAAAGCAGGCAAUUGCUUUGCAACCUUUCUGUAGUGGAUUCAAUAUUGUCUAUGCCUUGGAAGCCACUUGGCUCUAAUCCUUGCUACUCAAGGUGUGGUCCUUGGACCUGCAUCCCCUGGGAAUUUCUAUGAAAAGCAGCAUCUGAGGCCCCACCCCAGACCUACUGGAUCAGAAGCUGCGUUUUAACCAGAUCUCAAGCCACCCACGUGCACACCGAAGUUUGAGAAGGAUCACAUCUAGCCGCAGGGUCCUUCCUGGGACCCUCAGAGACUGCCACAGAGUCUGAAGCCGGUUCUCUGAGAAGCAGCAGCCGGGCCAUUUUCAGUGGGCAGCCCCUGAGAAGGACUGCUUGCACAGCACUGCCACGUCGGCGUGGACGGGUGAUGACCUGUUGGCCAAGCAGUCGAUCGCCCGAGUCCUUCUAGUGACCAGCUGCAAGAACAUCUGGAUGCCCCGUGGUCGCCAAGGAGGUUUUCCGUUAACUCUCUGCAGCGGCAGGGGAUGGGCCAGUCCACGGUGUCGAAUCCUCACCCCUGGUCUGUGAGGCAGGUGUUAUAAUCUCCGCUUUACACGGGAGGAGGCCAAGGUCCAGAGAGGGUAAGGCGCUUGCCCACAGCCACACAGUUGGGAAGAGGCCCAGUGGGGAUGUUCCCUUCGUGCAAGGCUGGCUCUUGCAGGGAGGCUGCCCUUCUAAUGCGGACAGUUUACUCACUCCACAUUCCGUCCUAAGACCCUCUUCACACAGGACUAACUGCGGUCUCUGCACCCCGUGAACUGGCCCUUCUCCGUGCUCCUGACCUCAUCUCCUACUGUGUAUGCCCGUGGCUCCCUCUGUUUUAGCCUCUCUGGCCUCUUUCGGACCCUUGAACGCACAAGCUGGUGCCCAGCCCAGGACCUCUGCUCUUCCUUCUGCCUGCGGGAUGUCUCCCCCCAUCUCCCCGUGUUUGCCUUCUCAUCAUUCAAGGCUCACUCAAACAUCCCUUCUUCCGGGGGCCUUUCCCUAAGCACCCGAGGGAAACACGUCCUGCCCUCUCCCCUCUCCACGCCCACAAUAGUCACUCUCAUUCCCAUUAUUUUAUUUUUUUCAUAGCACUCAGUUUAUCCAAAAUUGCCACGGGCGUUUGUUCAGAUGCCCCUCCACUGGCGUGGGAGCUCCUCGAGGGCAGGGUCCUUGUCUGGAUAGCUGCUGUGUCCCCAGCCCAGAACAGUGUCUGACACAUGGCAGGACUUAACGAGACUUGGCGAAGGAGAGGAGGCCUGGGUUCCCUGGGCCAUGGCAGUGUUGAAUUGCCCUGUCCUGUCCACGUCAUCUCUCUGUGGAGUGUGCGUGCGGUGCAGGCCUGCUCCACUCCAGGCUGUGGGCCUCCGAUGCCAGUCGUGGGUAAGUCAGGCUCUGGAGGCGGGAUUUGGAGACCCAUCUCUGGCUGUGGUCUGGUUCGGAACAGACCUGCUCUGCAGUGGCGUGGGCUGGGGCACGUCCUGAAGCGCUGCGUCGACGGUCCAGUCGAGGCUAGCGGAGGGGCAGGGAGUUGGACCUAACAGCUCCCGAAGGCCUGCUCCGGAGCAGACACUUGUUGUCCGUGACCUCCAGUGUUCACACUGCCUGUGUUCUGCUGUGCACUCGACAGAGGAGGGAGCUGAGGCCCAGAGGCGGUAAUUGACCCAGGCUGCCCCCUGGGGAGGCUGCAAGUGCAGAGCCAGGAGCUCUCGAUUAGAUGCUGAGUGCCUUGGUGGAAAGGUGACAGCUCACAUUCCCUGAUGAGUGGCAGGACUGGGAUCCAGACUCCAUCUGCCUCAUUCCCAAACUGUAAGCUGCUUGCUCACCCUACAGCUCCAACACCCUCUUUGUAAGAACUGAGGAGGUAGCUUGCCCGAGGUCACGCAGAGAAUUAGAGGCUGUGCUACACGCGGGGUCUCUCCCUGAGACCACACGGCCUCUCUUUGCUCUCAUCGCCGUGGGAGAGGGCUUCCAGAGAACCACCUCAAGGCCGACUACUGAUCCCGGGAGACCCCGGCUUCCUCUGGAGCCCAGUGAGUCACUGUGGGGAGGAUCCAGGCCCCUCCUUUGAAGCCCUGCUUCUGUGUUUAGCCUGAUCUGCCUCCAGGGGCAAGAGGAUGAAGCGGAGGAUUGCCUCGGGCCACUUCUGUCACUUGCUUGCCAAUCUAUGCUGUUUUCCUUUUGCCAGAGGGUCUUCAUAGCUGGGCCAAAACCCAUGAGAUGGACACUGGAGGAAAAGAGAGAUUACUUACAACUCAAGCUGCAGAAAAGGAGUAGGCAAGGGGAUGGGAUGCCUUCCCCAGAAAGCAAGACUGAAUAGCGCGUACAGUCUCUGGAUCAGAGUCCAAGUCUUGGAAAGAUUCUCAGAGGGCCUCAGUGAUUCCAGCUUCAUAGCUGGAGUCAGGUCAGGGCUCCAAUCUCGCUCAGCCUCUUCCCCCUACGUGACGUUAUACCUGCAGUGUAACAAGGACACUGACUUAGGAUUGUUGUGAUUUUAAAAUGAGACAAUAUGCAUCAUACGCCUGGUCCAGAACAGGCAAGAAAUAAAGAAAGAGCAGGGUGUGUGUGUGUGUGCGUGUAUUUUCCCCCUUAUCUCCUCAUUUUAUAGACAAAGAGACGAGAACCAGAGACCAGCUGUGAUGUCCACAGACACAUGGGAGUCCAUGCUGGAGCCGGGAGGUGGACCCUUGCCCCACCCUCCCAGGCCAGCGUUCUUUAUUUCACAUCACAAUAUUAAGGAUGAAAUUUUUAACCACGUCCCUAAUUUCUAGGCCUUGGAAGCAUAAAAAAGAUGAUUCUCAGCAUAUGGGGAAUACACCAAAAUAAAAUUAUUCUUUGACUAUUCUGGCAUCUAAAAAGCCUUUGAAGCGGCACUCCUUGUGUGGUCAGGAGAGCAGGCAUGUGGCUGGCCUGGAUCCUUUUCACUCAGGGAUGGUUGAACAGUGCCGUCCGGGCGCCCACCCCAGUCCCAAGACCGAAGGAUCUCGGGCAGGUGUGGUCCGAGAAAAAGUCAAGGUCAGGACAUGUGCACAUUGUGUAUGGGUCCCUGGAGCCAGCUAGGCAAACUUUAUCUGUGAGAUAAGGACUGUGAAUGUACCAUGUAAUUUUGUUCUUAUAAUAAAGGAAUAGUCCAGAAAUAACCUUAUCCCUUACGGCAUAAGGCCUUUUCGCUGGUUUCUGAGACCACCUGAGAGAAUGAGCCUUUUACCAACACACUGAUGAUUUAUAUCACAUCACAAUGUAAGGAUGCAAUUUGUUAACCGUAUCCCUAAAUUGAUCAUCUCAGGGAAUUGGUGUUCAUAAUUAAGAGUUGGAGCAGGGCCCCAGAUGCCUCUGGCAUCUUCCAAACCACCAGGGAAAGGCUUAUAUGCAGCUCCUGUUGGCUCACUGACUUUCUGGUCUUUGUUCAAAUGACACCUUCUCAGUGCGGCCUUCCCUGGCCACCCUAACUAACAGGCAGACCCCCCACCAACAUGCUCGAUCCCUAUCCCCUGAUUCAUUGUCCACCUUCACACUCCGCAUCUUGCAAUACACUAUAUAUCUACUUACUUUGUUAUUACCUACGUUCCCUUACUAUUUAUUUAAUGAUACUCAUUUGUAAAUGCUCGACAAAUAUCAGCUCAUUCAGACCUCAUAACAACUUUAAACGGAGGUGGUAUUAUUUGCCCCUCUAUACAGAUGAGGAAACUGAGACACAGAGAGGUUAGGUAAUGUGUUGAAGGUCACACAGCUCACAAGUGGCUGAGUUAAGAUGUGGUCCCAGGAGUCUGGCUCCCAAGUCCUUGCUCACGCCCAUCACACUGUCCCUCUCAUAGGAUGUGAAUUACGCAAGGGCAGGGGUUCGCCUAUUUGGCUGGAAAUACCUGGCACAUCACAGCAUCAAGUAAUUAUUUGUUGAAUGAAUGAAUGAAUGUUUAAAUGGGGCUUAUACCAUUCCAUUGCUUUGAAAGCCCUUCAUUUAUAGAUACUACGCUUAGACAGCCACUCCUUGAAGCAAAUCUGUGGAUUAUAGGAAGGCAGUGGGGCAGGUGGACAGGGCGUGGGGCUCUAGUGUCAGAAAAGAAUGGGGAUCAGAAUCCUAACUCGGUCAGUCACACACAAUAUUUCAUGAGCUACAUGACCUUAACAAGUUCAUCUAACCUCUCUAGCCUUGGUUGCUUCAGCCUUGGAGAAAAUCGUGGGCUCCUUGGAGGGUUAGGCAUUAGAUGAAAGUCCAGUGUAGAUAAAGCACGGGCCCAGAGCAGGUCCUCAGGAAAUGCCAGUUCCCUUCUCAUGGGGAAGGCAGGGAUGAAAGAUACAGGGACUCCAUCUUCCUUUUGCUGAGCAAGCUCUGAUUUUUUCGGAAUGAAUAUAUUAGGGUGAAAGUAUGGGGCUAGCAAAGGGGACCAGGAGAUGGGAAAUGUCACUUUUCCCUUGGACAGCAGUUAAGGCUGGAACAACUCUAGUCAAUUCAGCAAUAUAUUUCUUUUGAUUCUCACCUAACACCAAAUUGAUGCCACUUUUUCUCCUUUGUUUCAUUAAAUUCCGUCGCCUUAACGUGAAACACCGCCUCUUCAGACGUGGUCCCACCGUAGCAGUGAGCAGGCAGGAGUGUCAUCGCCCUCCCGGAAACCAAGCCCGCUUUGGAUUGUAGAGAACAGACCGCACAUCUGACAAGCGAGUUUCCCAAUUCCUCCCGAUUUGUAGACUGAGUUUGUAAAACUCUAAAUAUUUGUCUGACUUUUAAGACUGUUUUCUUCAAGUCUCAGUCGGAGACUCUGCAGGGAAACGCCUAGAGCCCCGGGCUGGCGCUGGGCUGGGAGCUGGUGCCCGGAAGUCGCUCCUGCUUCCUGGGUUUGGUGAGUGCCUCCACAUCAGAUUGCCCUGGAAACCUCCACGAGCCGCCAUCAGACAGAUGGGUCUCCUUCUGCAUGGGGAGGGCUGAGGCCCAGGACCUCCAGCACAUGUCCCAUCCUCUUUGCUGGACCCUUCUGCUGCUUGUGGUAUGACCAUGGCACAGUGGCCACGUGGGAUUAAUUCCAAACCUCUGACCUGGCUUUGCGCAUGCCGUUCCUUCUUCUUAGACUCUCCUUCCCUCACCUCCUCUGAACUCAGGGCUCUCCAACUUCAUCCUCAGGACUCAGUGUGGUUGCUCCUCUGGGACGAGGCUCUAAGGGGGCAGUGGCUGUCGGCUCUGUGCUCGUUUCUAGCAUCAGCCCCUUUCUUGUCAUCUUUACAUGUCCCUGUUUCUCAUCUGGGAACUCCUUCAGAGCAGGGCGUUGUUGUUCAUUUAAAGAUCUUUAGGCCCUGACAUAGGGCCCAGUCUGCAGCUGGUACUCAAGAGGAGUCCUGAAUUUUAAACUUUUUGCUCAAAUGAACAGGGCGCUGGGACCUUCACAGAAAGAGUGUAGGAUGAGGGGGUGCAUGGACUGCUGUUUAGGAGACCCCUCGGGCUGAUCUGGGUCAGCCCCCAUUAUUCUGCAUCUGAGAAAGUGGGAGCUUAGUGACAUCCCAGCUGCAUGUGUUGCUGGCAGAGCCGAGGUCUCCCCACUCUCGGUCCAGUGCCCAAUCUGUGAUCUCAGGAUGUCCCUCGUCCUCAUGAGAAUGAGCUGCAGCAAAGACAUGGCUGGUGGAGUGGAGAAAGGCAUCCAGGGACAAGAUACUGGGAGUGACAAAAGUCCCUGGAGUGUGGCUUGCCAUCUUGGCAGCAGGCUGCCUGGCAGACUGGAGGAUGCCAAUGAGAAGAAAGCCUCGGGAGUGCCAUGGCAGGAGCUCUGGGUUGCAGACUUGGGCUUCUCAGGCCAGACCCGCUGGCCCGAGUCAGCUCAGGAACCAGGGAAAAGUGCCACAGAGCCGUCCCCAAACCAAAGGCUUCAGGCUCCUUGCAGUUGGGCAUCUGGCCAGAUGUUAAGAAAAGGGGACAUUGCAAAGAACUCUAGCAGGAGGAAGUGGUUUGAGUUUCCUGCUUGAAGGAGGAUGCUUCAUUUAAAUAGAAUUCGGUAGAAUUAAGUAGAAGGGGGAAGUCUCUCAAGCCCUCUGCUUGGACUUGGAAGUCUGCUUCUUGCAGAGAAAGAGGAUUGAGAAAUGGCUUCCCAGGGAACCAGAUUUUACCCCAAAUUCUCAAUCGGGGUGGGGAUGGAUAUAACAGAAAACGUUUCCAUCUACUGAGCCCCUGUUCUGUGUUGGGUACUUCUCUCAGUUAGUGCUUCUCCCCAAAUCCUCGUGGAAACUCAGAUUCCCAGAGGGGAAGUGAUUUGCCGCAGAAGACACAGCAAGGCAGGCUGGCACUCGGACCCACCCCUGGCUGACCACCUCGCCACGUCGGCUCCCAAAGCUGGCUGGCCUCCCUGGGCCUGCGGGCCUCAGUCUGAGUGAGCUUCUCUCGUCUGUGAGCUGACAGUCACCAGGCCAGGCCCCUCCCUGCUUUGCAAAGCUCAGUUUUGCACAGCUAACCUCUUCAGUAGACCUCAGGGAGGUUCGACUGUGAAGGCCUGAGGACAGGGUCUGGGGUGCAUCACCUCUGUCUUCCCUGCACUGGCCCAAGGGUCUGGACCCAGUAGACGCACAGAAACAAUGGUCCCCGUGCCAGGAUCUUCUGUGUGGUAGCUCACUUCAUUCCCACACUGAGCCGGGGCCUGGGUUUGUCAUGCCCAUGUCUGAGAUGGGAAAACAGACUCAGGAAGAGAAGUAAUUUUCUCAGGAUAUGUUGCUGGAUUGUCUUUUAAAAAUAAAGGUAUUCCCUGAGUAUGGUAUAAGUAAGAUGUUUUAGGACACUUCUCUGCAAGAAGUAUCAUAUUUACUUGUAUUUCUAAAUCAAAUAAAUUUGGCUUGCCACACCCGCCUGCAUUUGGCAGGAAAUUCCGUCUCAGCGUGUGGGGUGGAGGUCGCCCCGAAUGCGGGAGUUUAUACGGAAUGGUGUUUAGACAAGAGUCUGCCUCUGGCCUUCAGCUCCAAGACGUUCCAAUCACAGGGCGAUGCUAAUCAAGCGACGCUUUGGAGCCACUUCCCAGAGUGGCCUGGGAACGCCCCCGCAGGUCAGGUGCUGUUCGAAGAGUUGGCACGGUGUGAGAUUUUUAACCUCAGUGGGUGACGAUGGCCACCUUCUUCCCCCCUCCCCCCAUCACACAUCCCCUGUUGGGUAAGUUGUAUUGGCCGUGGGCGUUUUAUAUUUGUAAUGUUCUUUUCUUAAAGAAAGCUCCUCAAAAUGCAUAUAUUCACGUCUGACAAAACCUAGAUGUGCUCCUGCCUGCUUCGUUCAUGGUGGCAGUCCCUCCACACGUGCCCUGGGCUGCCUUCCUGGUGGCCCUGGAGCCGUGGCUCUUUCUGUGAAAUUUUCGGCUUUUCCUCUUACCCUUUCAGAGGUUCCACCCUCCUGGAUGGGGGUGCUAUGUGGGAAUGGGAUACUGGUCCCCCAUUUUGGAAACAGCAGCUUCCAUAGUUUAUUUUGCCAUCUUGGAGAAGCCUUGCCAAGGUUAGGCCAUUCCCCAUUUUCAAGCACAGAGGAAAGGGUACAGAGGCCUUUGCACACACAAUGUCACAGUCAAGGUCAGAGCAUCACAGUCAAGGUCACAGGGUCACAGUCAAAGUCAGAGUAUCACUGUCAAGGUCAGAGGAAAGGGUACAGAGGUCUUUGCCCACACAGGGUCACUGUCAAGGUCUGAGUGUCACAGUCAAGGUCACAGGGUCACAGUUAAGGUCACAGUGCCACCGUCAAGGUCACAGGGUCACAGUCAAGGUCAGAGGGAAGGCCAGCAGUGAGACAGCAGCAGGUUGGAUGUGGCUGUCUUCAUUCUCUUAGAUGAAGUUCAAGGCAAAGGUCUCUGACAGUCCUUGGAAGAGAAUGUCCAGCUUGUUUUCCCGCCCAGAGCCUAGUAAACAGGACAACUGGAAUCUGUGGUGGCCUCAGGACACAUGGACUGCAGCCUGGCUGGCCGUGGGAGAGAAGGCAGUGUGGAAAUGGCUGACAUUAGGACCCACCCUGGCCUCUGCACUUGAUCCCCAAGGAAACGCCUCUUCUGGGACAACCUGUCUCAGGGACUUGGAAUCUGUAUCUUGGGUCAGAAAAUAUGCACAGCCUUUGACCCAACGAUUCCACUUCUAGGAACGCAAUAAGAAGGAAUAGUUGCUGAUGUGUGCAAAGAUAUAUGUCCAAGGGUGUUCAACGUAAUGUUGUUUGUAAUAGAGAAAAAGUGGAAGCAACUCAAAUAUCCAGCAAUGGUGGUAUGCCAGGAAACUUGUGUUGCUACAGUACAUCUAUAUGAUGGAAAAAUAUUAGCCAUUAAUAAUCAUGUGGUAAAGGAAUGUGUAUUGAUAUGGAAUUUUCAGAAUAUUUUGCCAAAUGAAAAAAGGCUAUCAAACAGCAUGUACUGCCUGUUCUUACUUAAUUAUAUAAUUACAUACUCCGCUGAGGUUAACUGAACACUUACUGGAUGCCAGGCAUGGCUCUAAGCAUUUAAAAUACAGUCAUACAUUUCAUCGUGCAACGUCUAUGAAGAAGAUAUUUUUAUUAUCUAUAUAUUACACAUAAGGCACCUGAGACACAGAGCGUUUAAGUAAUUCGCCCAAGGUCACACAGUACUAAGUGGCAGAACCUGAAUGUGACUAAGGCAGCUGGGGUCCGGAGCCAUGCCUAAACCACUAAGCUGGCCCUGCUCUCUCUUCCUGUGUGUGUGCAUGUUUGUAUAGUUUUCUCUCUCUUUCUCAGAGGCUUUACACCAAAAUGCUAGCUGUGUCUUCAGUCAUCCCCUCCUCAAACAAGAUACAGCAGAUGUUUCCAUGAUGAGAGGGGAUGCUGCAGCUACUGCGGCACUGGGGAACAUCUGCGCCUCGAGCACAGAGACUACGCCACGUGCCUGUGUGGACUCCACAUGGGCACGUCCCCAAUUCACCGAUUCAGCAAACAGUGACUAGGCACCCAUUCUGUGCAGGCCUUGUUCUAUGUUUUGAGGAUUCAACAGUGAACAGGGAAGGCACACGGGACAAUUCUCCCAUAAAACUGACAUCCCAGUGGGGAGGCAGAGAGGUGACCAGUAAGUAAACAGCCAAGAAAAACACCAGCUGGAGAUCAGUGUUGUUGGGAUCUGCAAUUAGAAGAGUAUGAGAGAGUGGGACCACAGCUACAGGGGUUAAAUGGCCAGGAAAGGGGACUUUUUAGAGGUGGCAUCUCAGCUGAGACUUGAAUGACCAGAAGAAACAAGAUAUUUGUCUAUAUCCGUAAUGUAUCUAUGUCUAUCUCUAUCUACCUAUCUACCUACCUACCUAUCUAUCAUCUAUCUGUCCAUCACCUAUCUAAUCUGAGAGAGAGAGAGAGAUAAAUCAAACCCAGUAAAAUGUUAACAUUUGGGGAAUCUGGGUGAAGGGUACAUUAAAAUAUUUUUGUAUAAUUGUUGUGACAUUUCUGUAAGUCAAAAUUAUUUUAAAAUAAAGAGUUGAAAGUAUAUUAAAA